rnacentral:lncRNA from 1 species
CUGUCAAUGGCAGCACAUGUGCAAACACAAAACGUACAUCAUGAAAUCGACAAGGGCAAACCAGUAAAAGCACAAAGGCCCGUGGAAGACAGAGCGAUCAGAACACCAAUGCCACUGAGAUCAGUAUUAUAGGUAGAAAGAGACCUUGGAACUCAAAAAGAAGUUCAUUUCUCCAGAAAGGCAACUCUUUACUUACCAAAAAGUCACUCCCCCCCCACCCACGCGAAGCUGAAACCCAGAAGAAACACAAAGCAAAAGGUCUGACAUGUUUUUUGGGGAUAUGGCUACUUGUCUGAUGUGCUUAAGUGAAUUAAUUCACUCAGCAAACCAAUUUAACUUGUCAGAGAUCACAAUGACUGGAGAGAAGAAGUUGGUCUGCUU